UUUUUUUGUCGAGUAUUGUCUCCAUACGUCGUCGUUCGACCAUACGCUAGCAAACGCGAGACGCACUUGUAGCGAAAAUUACACCAAAUAAUUGUCGGAUUUUCUCUCGAAUAAUCAAAGAAAAAGGAAAGAAUUAAAAAAAAUCUAGCAAAAUAUUGUUUAAACAAAUUUGUGUAUGUGUAAAAGCCGUACGGCACGGUGGAAAAAAUACAUAAAAAAGAGGAGCAUACCACAUACAGUGCUAACGUAUAGAUACAAAGAAAUAAAAUAAAAGAAAAAAUAGUGGCCAACAUUGAUAAAAAUGAUCAAUGGAAACAUGUAAAAAUGCAAUUGGAUCUGAAAAAUAUCGAUGAAAAUUUCACAUUGAAGCAAGAAAAAAAUUUUAAUGUGAUUUAUCGAGAAGAAGACGACGAAGAAGAAAAGAAGAAUAAAAAAAUAUCAUCAGUGGUGGUGAAGGCGACGACGAGAAAAAACAAAUACACAACAAAAACAAUAGCAAUAGCAGCAACACCAACGAAGAAGACAACGACGAUAAAUGUGGCAGCCGCAGUAGCAGUGCUGAGAAAUUGACGAAAUCAACUGUGAGUGUCGUGUUGGUCUUUGCGAAACGUCGUACAACAACAACAAGAACAACAACAGCAGCAGCAAAAUCAUCAUACACCAAACAAAACGGGGGGAGAGAAUUCGUGUGAGUGCGAAAGAGAGAGAAAAUCAAUACUAGCAGAGCGUGCUCUGUCAAGAGUGGCAAGAGUAUAGCAGGCGGCAGCAACAAUAAUAACAACAAACACAUCAAGCUACCAAAAAAAAAAAACGAAUGAGGUGGUUGUUCAGCGCAAACGAACGAACUCAACACACCAGUCAGUCAGUCGAAGAAGAAGAAGCAGCAGCAGUACCAUCAAUACACAACACAGUCCCACAAGCAUACAAACACACGGACACACACCUCUACAUACUGUCAUCAUCAACGUCGCAAGGCAACGCAACCAGACCAACAGCAACACCACCAACAACAACCAUAAUAUAAUAAAGUACCACACCGACUGCAGCAGAGAAGAGACGUCAGUCGUCGUCGUCGCAGCAGCAAUAACAAAACCAACAACAGCAGCAACAGUAAUAAUAAUAAAAAAGCAAAAAAGAAACGGUAAAACGAAGAAGAAGCACCAACCAACAGCAGCAAGCAGCAGAUACAAGAAGACAAAUAUGAACUAAAUUUUGAUGGUAUUAGUCGUCCGUCGUGUAUAAAUCAGAUGAGAGGAGGAUAUAGGUGAAAGAAGAAACUCACGCACACACAAGGAAACCCUCAAACAAAAAUCAAUUGGUGUUUCGGUGUUUCUGUUAUUUUUUUUCGUGUGUUAAGAUUUAAUUCAACAACUGAAACUGAACCGAACUCUCGGCUGAAUCGCAAAAGGAGAAGAAGAAGAAGAAAACUCAACUCUAGUUGAAACAGAAAACACAAUUUUAAUAAAAGUUAACGCCGCGUAAACACACCACCACCAAAAUUUUAAUAAUGAAUGGAGUCGCAAAAAUACACAAAAAUAGUUGAAGUGAGAAGACACCACAACGACGGCGAGCAGAAACCAAACGUUGAGAAGAAAGAUAUACAGCACACACAGAGAAACAAGGGAAUAAAAUAAAAACCGACGACGAACAGUGGAAAACCCGAAAGAAUUGAACAAAAAAUCGGGCAAAGAGAACGAGGAAAAAUAGGAUAAACCGAAGGAAUUGAAGAAAAGAAAGAACAAAAAAUAAUGAUUGGUUGGGGGUGAGAAAAACCAACCAAACCAACCAACGAAAGUACGAAUAUAGAGAAAAAACAAAAAAUUGAAAAUUGUUUUUGUGAUUUCAUAUUUCCAUUGGCGUUUCAUCGUUUUUGCUGAAAGUCACUUCCAUCGCCUAGCCAUCCAAGUACAAUAGACACAUUUCAAAACUCGAGUCAACCAAGAGCAGCAACAACGAUACUAAAAUCAACAAAUACAGGGUGAGUGAGCGCCAAUCGACGAAUCGCCAAACGGGCGAGCAACAAAAGCAAGAGGAGAGGAGAUUAAACGCCGCCGGAAUCAUCAACGUAGAUCCAGCGGUUGUUUUCCCUCCACCGCACAGCGGUUUUUUGAAAGCAGCAGCAGCUCCCAACAUCAUUGACACAUCACAUCUCCCCUCACCAUCUAGACCAUCUAGAAGCAAGCGGCAGCAGCCAGCAACAGCAACAAUAUAACCAACAAACAUGUAUGGCAAAUCUAAAACCUCAUCGGUGCCUUCAGAUGCUCAGGCCCGUGAAAAAUUAGCUCUGUACGUGUACGAAUACCUGCUACAUGUCGGAGCGCAAAAAGCAGCACAAACGUUCCUCUCCGAGAUACGAUGGGAGAAGAACAUCACACUGGGCGAACCACCGGGUUUUCUGCACACAUGGUGGUGCGUAUUCUGGGAUCUGUACUGCGCCGCCCCCGAAAGACGUGAUCAGUGCGAUCACUCGUCAGAGGCCAAAGCCUUCCACGAUUAUGGAUUUGUCAGUUCGGGUUAUGGUGUAAACGGAAUCGGCCCUGGUGGUCCACACAGUGCUGGCGGUCCAGCACCCAGUCCUCUAGGUCAAAUGCCUCCCGGCAGCGAUGGUCCCAUGGGGCCGGGUGGUCCAAUGGGAGCGAAUUUCUUUCCCAGUUCAACGAUGAGACCUUCACCGCCCACACACGCCUCAAGUCCACAGCCGCCACCAUCACAAAUGAUGCCGGGUCAACCGCCAUUUAUGGGCGGUCCACGGUAUCCUGGCGGACCCAGACCAGGUGUGCGCAUGCAAGGCAUGGGUAAUGAGUUUAACGGACCACCUGGCCAGCCCAUGAUGCCUAAUAGCAUGGAUCCCACGCGGCCGGGUGGUAUGGGUCCAAUGAAUCCUCGCAUGAAUCCUCCACGGGGACCCGGUGGUAUGGGUCCCAUGGGUUAUGGCGGUCCGGGAGGAAUGAGAGGUCCAGCGCCUGGUCCGGGUGGCAUGCCACCCAUGGGUAUGGGAGCGGGCGGCCGACCACCUCAAUGGCAACCGAAUGCGACAGCGCCCAUGAAUGCGUAUUCAUCGUCAUCACCGGGCAACUAUGGUCCCGGUCCAGGCUCAAAUGGUCCUCCGGGACCGGGUACACCCAUAAUGCCAUCACCACAAGAUAACACACAGGCCGGCCCCGGUGGUCCUGGCGACAACAUGUAUUCACUAAUGAAACCAGAAUUUCCCAUGGGCGGAGGGCCUGACGGCGGCGGCGGGGGUCCCGGCGGCAUGGGUCCCAUGGGUGGCGGUCCGAAUUCUAUGGGUCCUGUACUUAAUGGGGGAGCGGGCGACGGCACCGGUCUUGAUGGUAUGAAGAACUCACCAGCCAACGGAGGACCCGGCACGCCUCGAGAAGACUCGGGCAGUGGUAUGGGUGACUAUAAUCUCGGCGGCUUUGGUGGACCUGGGGAGAAUGAUCAAACAGAAUCGGCGGCUAUAUUAAAAAUCAAAGAGAGUAUGCACGAAGAAGCGAAAAGAUUUGAGAAAGAUACAGAAAAUAACGACUAUUUCAUGCAAUAACCGCCCGAACAAACCAACCUCGUACAACCGCAACAGCCACAAACAACAGCAGCAGUAGCAGCAGCAGCAACAGAUAUUGAUGAAAAGAUGAACAAUAGUAACAAUUCCUCUUCCUCCACCACCUCGGCGGCCAUAAUCAAUUCCAGUUCCAGUAGCAGCACCACAGCAAACGGCAGCAACAAAAUAUGCAGCAGCAAUACCGGCCAUCAUCAUCAGCAACAACAAUAUCCGGCUGAAAUGACUGGGGAAUCACAAACAGCGGCAGCAGCAGCAUCAGCAGCACUGGCAUCUUCUUCAGCUGCCCAUAGCAGUUCCAGUACCGCCGAUGAAGAUGAGACCAGUGCAUUACUGGCGGUAGCAAUGAUGAACAGUGUCAAAGAGGGUCUGGGUUCUGCCAUGCUUCAACAUUUGUGGUCCUCAAUGGCUGCAGUUUCCAAGCAACCGUAGACGCGCCGAGGGGGGUGGUGGUGGCCAGAAGCGGAGCUGAGGAUGAGGGAGAGAGAGCUGAGUUAAGGAACGCGCGCUCCACGCUCGGCAUCCAACAACAUCUCCUGUAAAAAACGACUUAAGAUUUCGAAUUGUGAAUGCGCGUCUUGCCAUGAUAGAUGAAUGAAUGACUCGAAGAAGGAAUGAAUGAAUGUCUGUAUGCGUGCCGCGCAAACGCCGCCACCGCCUGCAAUUCGAAUGGCUUUUGUUGGUGGCAACGCAUCCCCACCCACCCCACUUCUAAAGCAGCCAGCCGCACAAUAUAUUCAAGGAAACCAGAAGAAAACAGCAGGAUGACAGGAGGAUGAAUGUAAACCUAUGGUAGUGUGGAAGCAUUAACAGCUAAAACAACAACAAACAAACAAAUAAGUCAACCAUUACAACAACAACAACAAUUUACUGGUAAAUGGCAUUAAGAGAUAAAUUAAUUUUUUUAUUUUUAUUUUAAAAAUUAUUUUUAGUUUUUGUAAAUUUAAAUUAAAACAAAUCAACAAAAAAAAAAAAACCGAAACAACAACAACAAAAACAAUUAUUAUUAUUAAAUGAUAUAUACAUAUAAAAAAAUACAAUACAAAACUAUAAACAAAUGAUGGUAAAUUCCCUCAGAUGAUGAUAAUGAUGAUGAAAAAGAAAACAAAAAAGAAAUUUAAAUAAAUUAUUUUCAAAAAAAAAAGAAAAGAAAAAUUGAAUUCCAAUUUAAAACUGUCCCCCGAAGAACAAAAAAACCUUUUGGUUGCAAAACCAAACCAUCCCCGACAUUCUUUUGGGAAAUCCAAACUUUGACUGUAUCCUUCCUUUUGCGUCGAUCUAAUUAAAGCCAUGUAAAUAAUAAGGGAUAAAAUUAUAAAAAAAAAGCAACUGUUGGAUUUGAAGGCCUCUUCAAGGGGUCUUCUAUUCGUAGAAAUUCUUGUGAUCAAUAGAAAAAUAAUGGUCUGCUUAAGGGGUCGCCAGGGUAUUAUAGGUUUUUGCUCUUGAUAGGUUUUCUAUAGAUCGGAAAGGAAGACUUUGUGGACAUUGUGAAAGAUGUUGAGUUGAAUGGCCAGAAAGCAGAUGGUGUCUUAGACUCCCAGAAAGAAUUUCUUUUCAGAGGACGACAGAAAUUCCAAAAUGAAGUGCAGGGCCAGCAUAAUUUCGGAAUUUUAGAGUCAUUUUUAUAACCCGAUAUAUAAAUUAUUUCAUUUUAAAUUUAGACUUUAAAGUCCUUGUGUGGAAACAUUUCCUGCAAGUUAGGAGCCUUCAUCAUUGGAAAGUAAGACAUUGAGGUCUGCUUAGGGUUUUUGUUUUUGAUAUGUUUUUGUUUUAUAAAUCGGAAAGGAAGAAUUUAUAGCCCGAUCCAGAUGAAAUUUUGCACAAAUUGAAAUUGGAGAUAAUCGGUCAAAAUUUAGAUAUAGCUCUCAUACAUAUCUUUGUCCGAUUUCCAUUUUAUGGUGCACCAAGCGUGUAAUAUUUGUCCAAAUGGGAUGGAUUUUGGCGCACACGGCAAAAUUAAGCUUGGAAAUAAGUAUGCCAAAUUUGAUCGAUAUCGGUUCAGAUAUAGCAAUAACUCCCAUAUAUAUUGUUUAGCCGAUUUGUUAUUUUUGUCCUCCGCAGCCGUAAUAUGCACUCUGUAACAACAAUAUAUGGGAUAAUAUCUUAAAUACAGUUCAGAAACACAUUUGCCAAAUUUUAUCGAGAUCGGUUCAUAUUUGGAUAUAACUCCCAUAUAUAUCUUCGUCCGAUUUGCCUUUUAUUGUGCACCAAACUUGAAAUAUUUGCCCAAAUGGGAUGGAAUUUGGAACUUACGUCCAAAUUGAGCCUACAAACAGUAUGUCAAAAUUUGUGAUAAUCGGUUCAGACAUAGCUAUAGCUCCCAUAUAUAUUGUUCAUCCUAUUUGUUGUUUUUGUCCUUCACAGCCGUAAUAUGCACUCCGAAACAAAGAUAUUCGUGGAAAUAUAUCAACUACAGUUCAGAAACACCUUUACAAAAUUUUAUCGAGAUCGGUUCAUAUUUGGAUAUAGCUCCCAUAUAUAUCUUCGUUCGAUUUGCCUUUUAUUGUGUUAUUUCCUUUGUUCCUUUGGACUUUAAGACUUUUUUUACUGGUUAUUUAAAAAAGGUAAUUUAAUAAAGAAAAAUAUUUGGACAAUCUGAAGCUAGUUCUUGCCAAGAAUUUUGUUAAAUGUCCGGAAUCUAAUAUCUUUAUGUGGCGACCCUUUUCAACCUAACCUAAUUCCAGGCUUUUUGAAGCUGUAAAAAUGGAAAUGAUGCAGUUUAGUUUGGGUUUCCAGGAGGAAGUUUUUGGUUAACAAAAUUCCAAAUGGAUGGCUAAGUUUUUUUUUUGAACCCCCCGUCAACAAAAAGUAAAUGGACCAUUUAGAAAAAAAUAGCAUAGACUACAAAAAAAACUACGAAACUAAUUUAUUUUUUGAAAUCUAACUUGCCCCACCCCCCUUGUCUACCUACUGUUACUUAGAAAAGGCCCCCGUUCCCGACCCAAACAAACAAACAAACCAUGGAAAAUAAAAGCAGUAAAAUCACUUAAAAGUAUUAAAAGGAUCAUCUUUUUUUUGUACAGUUUCUAAAAUUAAAUAACUAUGAGGAUCUAAAUAAAUUAAAAAAAAAAAAAAAAAACAAAAACAAAAUUCUCAACUAUUAAUUGAAUUGAAUUAAUUAAGUAUAUUGUAUUAUAAUAACAAAUCUAUGAUAAAAAAAAACAACUCGUUUAUUCCCUCUAUCUCUCCCAAAAACAUGAUCCCCCAACUCUCUCUCACUCUCUCUCUUUCCUAAACUCAUAAUUUGUAUUUGUUUCCUUUUUUCUUUAGAUUUAAAAGCUAAAACUGUUUCACACAUACACACACACACACCCUAUUGUAUAAAAUUAUUAAAACAAACAGAAAAAGUAGAUCCAGAGAAAAAAAAAACAAUUCUUAAUAAUAUACUAUAGGUACUUAUAUAAAUUAAAUUAAAUGAAAACAAAAAUAUACUUAAAAAAAAUACAAAAAUAAAAUAAUAAAACUCUUCUUGGCUUUCAUGAUGUAUUCAUUAAGGAUUUGUAGUAAAGAUUAUUAUUAUUACUAUUAUUCAAAGCAAAACAACAAAGCAGCAGAAAAAGAAAUAUAUAAAAAAAUUUGUAAUAUAAACAAAAACAAAUUCGUAUACAUUUAUAUAUUUUUAAAUAUUUUAAUUUUUUAUUUUUCUUGUCAAUGACAGUUUUACAUAUAUUUUUAUAUAUAUAUAUAUACAAUAUUCGAUAUUAAAUAUCUUUGAUUUAUAUUUAAAAAAAAAAAACAUUUUUGUUUUUUGGUUUUGAUUUCCUAAUUUGGUUGUUUUUUUAUUUCAUAAUUGGCUCUUUGUAGAAGGCGGUGUGUAGUUUCAAUAUUUAUUUUUUGAAGUGUGUUUUUUAUACCCUACCCCAUACUGCGGUCAGCAGGGUAUUAUGUCUUGGGUGGGGCGAAUAUUUUCGCGAUAAUAUUCUUCAUUUAUUCUGAUGUCACGGUCGAUUAAUACGAGCAAAGAGCCACCAUCGGCUGUUAUGGCAGCGCAUACCAUCACCAUGGCCGGCCCUUGAGUUCUGGUGGCCAACCGAAGGUGCACAUUUUCAGCUGACCUCUUUGCCAAGUAAACACGAUCAUUUUGUUUGUUUACAAACUGCUGGACAACGAAUGUUUUCUCAUCGAAGAAACCUAAAUUAGGCAGUUCACCACUUUCAACUAAGCGAAGCAACUCUUUAGCUCCUUUGAGUCUAUUUUCUUUCAGUUGCGGUGUAAGUUCUUGCACUUUUUGGUUUUACCCCGAGCUCAUUUUUCAAUAUUUGCGGAAUGGAUUGCGAUGAUAUGUUCAGCUCUGACAGAAACUGGCUCUGAUGAGUUCAAAAAUUUAUUUCGAACAUUGUGGAAUAUAAAUGUCAUAUAUUUUUUAUAUUGGAACAAGGAAAUAAAAAGGAAGGGCUGAAAACUAAAAUAUUAAAUAAAAUCUUCAAAUGUCAUUAAGUGAGAGGGUAUCGGUAUAUGGCGACGAUGCUUUAACGUGGACCUAACAUCAAAAUGUGUUGGUUACUUUAUUUUUUAGUCAUUAUGAAGCUUCGCUAAAACGAAUCAGAUCGAUUAGUUUUACGGAAACAUUUUUGUCACACCUUCCCAAACAUAUGGAACCACUGUGGUGCUAAAAAUUUCGGUUCCAUUCUCAAUUAUGUCAUAAUGGUUUCCAUUGAUUACAGAAACCAUAAAACUAUUGAUCAUAGCUUUUGGAAUGCUGUGUAAGUAUAAAGGUGAGAAUACAUAAAUGUUUUUUUGACUGGCUUAAGUCGUCGAAUAACUUCUUGGGAAAAGAAUAAAGGAGCGUAGGUCCAAAAUGGAACUAAGUUAACGUAAAAUUCCUUUGGAAAAGGAUAAAGGAGCGUAGGGCCAAAAUGGAACUAAGUCAACGUACGAAGAAGUCAACUCUACGUAGAAGCUAGCCGAUGACUUAAGCCAGUCAGAAAAUCGUUUUAUGUAUUCGCAUCUUAAGCUAUUGCUAAAUUUUGGUGUAUAGUUAAAAAAUUCCAAAUUUCUUGUAAUAAAAUAUAUAUUUUUGAGACUUUUCCGAUUAACUAUUUCUAGCACCUUAAAAAACGCCACUCACACACACACACAAAAACUUGAAGUUUGGGAAGUCUCUAUUGAAAUAAAUGCAGGCCUGCUUGCUACGUUUUCUAUUGGUGUGAACAGGAAUACCUUUUCCGCCAUAACUUCCACAUCCUAAGCACCUUAGAAGAUAUGCAGUUUUUGGUUAUUUGUUAAAAUUUUAGUUUUAAAAAUCCACUUUUUUCUUUUUUUUUGUGUUGAAACAUAUUAAAAAUAUUUUUUUUUAUUUUGCCUGGACUCAAUCAAUGAGAAUUAUGCUCUGUUCAAGAACCUGCAAGAAUCUACUAUUUUUGCAAUUUUUUUUUCGAUAUCAUAAAGGGAAAAUCGGUUAUCGUAGUAAGCUUUACAUUCUUGCUUUACAGUUCUGGAACAGACCAUUAACUUUGAGGUUUUGUUUCCUUUUUUAUUGAAAUCAUGGCAGACAAUUCUUGCAUUGUUCCACAACUUGAAAAAAUCUACUAGUUGUGUUUGUUUAAGGCUUUUUGAUGUUAUAGACUUUUGCAGGAAGUCGACUAUUUAUAUCUUUUAUGAACUAUGAAAUGAAGACUUUUCUGAAACCAAAACCAAGUAGCAGCCCUUAUAGAUAACCCAAAAAUUUAUGAAAGAUAUUUGGUCUGUUCCAAUGCCUGCAAGAAUCUACUAGUUGUGCAAUUUUCUUCGAUAUCAUGAAGGGAAAAUCGGUUAUCAUAGUAAAAACGUUUACAUUUACAUUUUUGCGGUUCUGGAACAGACCAAUUUUUUCGUUUUUUUUUAUACCCUCCACCUUGACGUAGAACUUCAAAAUUUGGCACAACACUUUGUAUUGUGUCUACGAUGGUUGGUAUUGGUAUAGCCGCCAUAUAACGGUACCUCACGAUAUUCGGUAUUUUGAUGAUUUUAGAAACAUUUUUACAGGGAUUUGUCCAAAAAAUUGGUAUUUGUAGCUCAUAAUGGGUUCUAGUUCUGGUGGCGAUAUAUUAUGUACAUAGGUCCACGUUUUGGUAUAGCCGCCGUAUUAUGGUACCUCCCGAUAUUCGGUAUUUUGAUGAUUUUCGCCAUAUUUUUCACGAAUUUGUCUAAAAAUUGGUAUUUGUAGUUCAUAAUGGGUUCUAGUUCCGGUGGCAGAACAUUGUAUGUAUAGGUCCACCUUGCUGUAUAUCCCCCAUAUAACGAUACCCAUCGAAAUUCGGUAUAAUCGCAGUCACAUUUACCCACGAAAUUGUUUCAAAUUUGGUUUUUAAGAGGAUUUGGUAGAUGACACUCCUUGAAGUAUUAAAUAUAUCGUUUUGUUAUGGCCUCCAAAUAUCGGCCUCACCCACCUUUGUGGUAUUUUGAAAAGUUUAACAGCACUGCUUGCUCUGUUCCAGAUUCUGGAACAUUUAAGUGAUUAUUUUAGGGUUCUGAAUGUAAUGGACUUCUCCAGGAAAUCGAUUAUUAACAGCUCUUAUUACUUACUACUAAUGGGGAAGCCAAAAAUCAAGUAGCAGACUUUAAAGACCAGCCAAAAAAAAAACUUGAAAGAUAUUUUUAAGGGCUUUUUUUUGUUUAUUUUUUGUAUAGCUUUAAAAGUUUUUACUACGAUAUCCGAUGAUCGAUUCUAGUAGAUUAUUGCAGGUUCUGAACUGGACCAAUUGUUUUAAUAGUACAUUUUACCACAGAAAACUUUAAAAAACUAAUUUUCAAAUUCGAAAAAAUUAUAUAGCUAAACAGUACGUUUACAUAUAAAUGGGUUAAUCAACUGGAUUUGGAUUAUAAUUGUCGUAUCCAUUAUUUAUACUUCAAAUAAAUCCUCUUAAAGUAGGUUAACCCUACAAAAAGGCCAAACGUAUACAUGGCAUAAGACUUGUUUGUAAUAAUGUCCACUGGGAAGGAUAUCUCCAUCCAAUAUAUUUUUCUGAUUAAAUUAUGCUGCCCACCAUCUUGACGGCUGUCUGCAAUUGUUCUUUUUCUUCCUUUGUAUUAUAUUGUUGUUCCUUUUGUUGUGAAUUAGUGUUUUCACAAAAAAUGAAAAUUCCUUUUUUUUUGAUCACAAAAAUAUGUUCCGGCAUCCUAACCCCAAAAAAGAGAUGGCCUUGUAUUUCCUUAAUUAUAUUUUAAAUAGAAUUUUUUUAAAUAGAUAUCUACAUUAAAACAACUAUUGUAAUAAACUUUUUAUGGUCUUCAUUGUAUACACAAAACUAUGGCAAAUAUUUAUAUAUAUAAAAUAAAAAAAAUUAAAAUAAAAAAGAAAAUAAACAAAAUAAUUAUUAAUUAUGAAAUUAUUGUACAAAAGUUUAUAUAUAUAUAUAUAGUUAUAUUAAAUUAUGGUAAUGAAAAAAAAUUUAAAAAUGAAAAAUAAGUAACGUAAAAUAAACCUACUAUAUAUUAAAUACUUAUAUAUUAGAAACGUAAAGCAUUUUUACUUAAUUUUUAUUAUUAUUUACAAAAAAAACAAGAAAAAUAAACAAAAAGAAAUAAACAAAAUAAUGUACACAUAUACAUAUAUAAAUAAACCAAUAUAUUUUAAUAUUAAAUAUUAAAAAAACAAAAAACAAAGUAAAAUAAUAAAAAUUAUAUUGCGUUUUAGAAUAACGUUUUUUAUUAUUAUUAUUUAUAAAGUCCUGUUUUUUAGUUUGUAAUUAUACUAGCAAAGCAAAGCGUUUACAUUUUUUAAAUGUUUAUAUACAUAUAUAUAUAUUUUUUAGUUCCCAUUAAAAAUGAAUUUACAUUUUUUUUAAACAAGAACGUUUUAAAUCAAAAAAAAAAAACUAUAAUUUUACAACAAAAAGCAUAUACAUAUUAAAACAAAAAAAAAAACACAAAAUGUGGGAAACCCUAAACUAAUUACUAAAGCAUAAUUACAAUAAUCUGUAAUGGGAAUUUUUGCUAAAAAAAGAUAAAUUAUUUAUAAAAAUAAAAUAAAGAAAAUUAAAAAAAAUCAAACAAAAAAAUUGUAAAAUUUUUUUCAAAACCAAUAAAAAAAACUUAGCAUCCAAACCGAAAAAAUAACAUCUUAAUUAGCCACUAAGACCUAAAAAAUCAUAUACGGAAAAAACUAUUAAUUUAAUAAUUGCAAAAUGGAGGUGUUUAAAUAAGUAUUUUAGUGUUAAUUAUUAAAAAAAAGUAAAUAAAUAAAAUAAAAAUCGUACACACAAAAAAAACCGAAUAUAAAUAAAUUACCACCCCAAGAAGAAGUUAAUCCCAGGCCGAAGAACAUAAAAAUAACCACACAUAAGUGAAAUAACAACAAAAACAAAAAAAUCUGUAACAGAGACCCACAUUACAACAAAAUAAAUAAAUAAACAAAAAAAUAA